rnacentral:rRNA from 1 species
AGUCGCGGUGACAACCAGGAGGUUGGCUUAGAAGCAGCCAUCCUUGAAAGAGUGCGUAAUAGCUCACUGGUCAAGUGGUUCUGCGCCGACAAUGUAGCGGGGCUCAAGCGUACCGCCGAAGCUGUGGCAGCAACACGUGUGGCUGGCGCCAGUUUAUUGGUUGUUGGUGUGUUGUUGGGUAGGGGAGCGUCCUGCAUGAGGUGAAGCCUGGAGGUGACUUCUGGUGGAUUGUGUGGGAGUGAGAAUGCAGGCAUGAGUAACGAAUCUGCGGUGAGAAUCCGCAGCGCCGAUUGACUAAGGGUUCCAGGGCUAGGUUUAUCCGCCCUGGGUUAGUCGGGUCCUAAGGCGAGGCCGACAGGCGUAGUCGAUGGACAACCAGUUGAUAUUCUGGUACCAGGUUGUGACCGCCCAUGCUGAGGUCAUUGUGCUAACCAAUCUGCCCGCCGCGCUCUGGUCCUUCGGGAUUGGGGUUGUGUGUGGGUCUUGGGGUCCCGGUGAUGGUAGGCAAGCGUGUUAACAGGGGUGACGCAGACAGGUAACUGCAGUGCGCCGAUGGUUGUGCGUAUUUAAGGUUGUGGCCCGCCCUUCAGGUAAAUCCGGGGGGCACUAGGGGUGAGGACUGAUGAGGGACACACGCGUGUGUGGACUUGUGGUGAUCCUAUGCUGCCGAGAAAAGCCUCGACGUGAGGGCAUGACGCGCCCGUACCCUAAACCGACUCAGGUGGUCAGGUAGAGUAUACCGAGGCGUUCGAGUGAAUCGUGGUUAAGGAACUCGGCAAAAUUCCUCCGUAACUUCGGGAUAAGGAGGACCCCGUGACUUGCUCCCGCCGUGCGUGGGUGUUGGGUUGUGGGGUCGCAGAGAAUAGGGAGAAGCGACUGUUUAUCAAAAACACAGGUGCGUGCGAAGCCGUAAGGCGAUGUAUACGCACUGACGCCUGCCCGGUGCUGGAAGGUUAAGAGGAACCGUUAACAUUCUUUGUGGGUGUGAAGCGGUGAAUUUAAGCCCCAGUAAACGGCGGUGGUAACUAUAACCAUCCUAAGGUAGCGAAAUUCCUUGUCGGGUAAGUUCCGACCUGCACGAAUGGCGUAACGACUUCUCCGCUGUCUCAACCGCGAACUCGGUGAAAUUGCAGUACGAGUAAAGAUGCUCGUUUCGCGCAGAAGGACGGAAAGACCCCGGGACCUUUACUAUAGCUUGGUAUUGGUGUUCGCUUGGACUUGUGUAGGAUAGGUGGGAGACUGUGAAGCUGCCGCGCCAGCGGUGGUGGAGUCGUCGUUGAAAUACCAUUCUGGUUUAAGCGGUCACCUUAACCUUGGCCCGUGAUCCGGGUUGGGGACAGUGCCUGGUGGGUAGUUUAACUGGGGCGGUUGCCUCCUAAAAUGUAACGGAGGCGCUCAAAGGUUCCCUCAGCCUGGUUGGUAAUCAGGUGGCGAGUGCAAGUGUACAAGGGAGCUUGACUGUGAGACCGACGGGUCGAGCAGGUGCGAAAGCAGGAACUAGUGAUCCGGCCAUGGCACGUGGGUGCGUGGUCGCUCAACGGAUAAAAGGUACCCCGGGGAUAACAGGCUGAUCUUGCCCAAGAGUCCAUAUCGACGGCAUGGUUUGGCACCUCGAUGUCGGCUCGUCGCAUCCUGGGGCUGGAGUAGGUCCCAAGGGUUGGGCUGUUCGCCCAUUAAAGCGGUACGCGAGCUGGGUUCAGAACGUCGUGAGACAGUUCGGUCCCUAUCCUCUGUGCGCGCAGGAAAUUUGAGGAGGGCCGUCCCUAGUACGAGAGGACCGGGAUGGACGAACCUCUGGUGUGCCAGUUGUACCGCCAGGUGCAUGGCUGGUUAGCUACGUUCGGAAGGGAUAACCGCUGAAAGCAUCUAAGCGGGAAGCCUGCUCCAAGAUGAGGUUUCCACGCCCCCCCCGUGGGGUGAGAGGCCCCCGCCAGACGAGCGGGUUGAUAGGCCAGAGGUGGAAGCACCGCGAGGUGCUCGCGAGCCGACUGGUACUAAUGGGCCAACACUAAACAAC